UUCCAUUCCAUUCCAUUCCAUUCUGUCCUUCUUUUAUAGGUCUGGAAGUGUUACAUUUAAAAUGAAGAAUCAAGGAAGAUAACAUUUCCAGAUAUCAGCAGGGGCUGGUUUUUUCUAAUUCCUUUGCAACAACUAAAAUCAACAUACUAGUUCCCGCUAAUACUGAUCAUUCUAAUUUUAUGAAAUGUCUUGAAAAAGAUGUCUUCAGGUUCUAAAAGCAUUUUGAAUGAAAGGGGAGAAAAACAAAAAUGCUUGCUUUGAUCAAAGCUAUAGAAAAAAAGAUCAACAACAUGCAGAAUGAGAGCUACAGGCAGUAUAAACUAAUUGAUUUAAUGGUCAAGAUCUCCUUUAUCAGAACUAUAAAGUUUAAUUGUGUGUGUGUGUGUGUGUGUGUUUGGUAUCUUCCCCAAAAUAUAAUUGCCUUCUUAAGGUUAACUGUAUACUUGAACAAAUCUUAAAUGUUGUAUUUGUAUGCAGGUAGAUCACAUUUGGGGUGGGAACAUUGCUAAGUGAUGCAGUUAAGUAAGUUUAGAACCCUUUUUGUCAUUUUCAUGAAGUGACCCACCAUAGUUCUUUAAGCAAAUCUGGCUUCCUCCAUUGACUUUGUUCGUCAGAAACCCCCUAAACAAUGAUCUUGUGACCUCCAGGAUACUCAACAAUUAUAAAUACAUGCUGGUUGAGAAACGCCUGAAUUUUGAUCAUGUGAGUAUGGGAACUCUACAAGGGUUACAAGUUUGAGGACUGGUUGUAAGUUACUUUUUUCAGCGCCAUUGUACCUUUGAAUUUCUGUUAAGUGAAUGGUCAUAAAUUGAGGACUACCUGUAUUGUACUAUAACUUAGCAAGACACCAGAGACCAUAUCAAUGUCGUCCUUUACACUCUCAUUUCCAGUUUUUCUGAAAAUGCAUACGGGUACAUAUCAGUGAAAAGCUUAUUUCCUGAUAAUAAGUAUAUAUAAUAAAAAUAAUUAUAGUUCUUCAAAAACUCUACCUCUGGGGCUUUACACAAGGCAGUCUAACAAUUCAUAUCUACAUGAGGUCUUCUGUCAUUCACUUUUAAAUCUAGCAUAUGAAUCUUAAUCAGCAUCUGGACUGAAGGGAGAAGGAAAGGAAAGCAGUUUCAAACAGCAUCCAUAGAGGGCCCCCUGUGCCAUCUGAACACUUGGCUUCUCAACUGAAGGAAAUUACACGCAAGGACACUAAGAUUCUCAGAACAAGGGUAUUUUUUUUUUCAUUUCCUAAGUACAUUUUGAGUGGGGGGGGUUGAAAUCAAAUUGUAGAACUUUGUGGCAGUGCUAAAUAAAAAAAUUUGAAGUCGAUAUACAAAUACUUCUCUGAAUGACCACUCUUAGUUUAUUAACAGAUAUGCAGUUCAGAGAAAA